rnacentral:sRNA from 1 species
CGAUCAAAUAAUAAACGGUGCGGUUUACACGCACAAAAAUUGAUAACGAUAACUUCGAAUUUUGCAUUCCAACGCGGCGGCUGUCGGACCCCAAAGUGCGCCAAAAACAAAACAAUAUUGAAUUUCAAAGCGGUGGCCGUUUAACAAACAAAUUGUGAUUUCGUGAGUGCGCGGCCCACGUUGAGCGGCAUCCAUAAAUAAAUAUGUAUACGCGUACCACCGAAAAGUGCAUUGACAGCUGCUGCCGCGAGUAUUGACCAAUUCUCUGAGAGCGCGGAGGAAGCAUUUCCGUGGGCCUCGUAAUUGUGGGACCGCUUUGGUCGUCUGUCUCUUGUUGUGCCCUUGCGUUGGUGUUCCCUUUGGAGGCGGCGGCCCCCCUUGCCUUAUCAGCGGCUCUUUCCCAUUCUCAUUUUUAUUGAAUCUCCCCGUUUGAUUGGGCGAUUUAUCACAUUUCGGUGUUCGGUGUUCGGUUUUCUGUUUUCUGUUUGCAUUAGUCACACGCGCCAGCAGCAGCAGCAGCUGUUAAUCGAUCGCGUUUUUAUUGUCAAUUACCAAGUUUAUCAUUUAAUUUGUAAAGUUUCAGCAACGCAACUAUAAAUAGAAGUGAAGUGUUGAAAAGGCGUAGACAGCUUUACAGUUUAAACUGAUUCGUGAUCAAAGUUUUUAAGUGUCACAAACGUGUGUGUUUUAUGUGUAAAAUCACUUGAACAGCAAAAGAUUUAUUAAGCUAAGAAGGAAGUCAACGAUUUUGCAAACGAAGGUCAGAAAACCAUGAGACACUCUGCAGGCGACUGCUGCGCGGUUUGAGCGCGUCUUUAGACGCGCGGUCCUUCCUCGCAAAUACUACAAUGAUGA